rnacentral:rRNA from 1 species
CAAAGGCCCCAAAGGAAGCCACGGCUAACUCUGUGCCAGCAGCCGCGGUAAUACAGAGGUGGCAAGCGUUGUUCGGUAUUAUUGGGCGUAAAGAGCACGUAGGUGGUUUUGUAAGUCAGAUGUGAAAGCCUUCUGUCCAAAGGAAGAACGGCAUCUGAAACUACAGAUCUUGAGUGUAGGAGGGGAGAGUGGAACUUCUGGUGGAGCGGUGAAAUGCGUAGAUAUCAGAAGGAACGUCGGCGGCGAAAGCGACUCUCUGGCCUAUUACUGACACUGAGUGUGCGAAAGUUAGGGGAGCAAACGGGAUUAGAUACCCCGGUAGUCCUAACUGUAAA